GCCUUCUUGCGGCACAGCCACCAAACACAACACAGCAGCAGUGGCGCAAGCAGCAGGGGCGGCACAAAAUAGAGCCAGUUGCAAAAAAUGCCCUGGCUGAGAAAGACAGCAAUAUGAACCACGCCUAAGGGACAGAGGAAUGCCAGGCCUGGGAGGGCCUGGGUAGCCUCAUCCUGGUGCCCACCACUUGGAGGCCCAUCUGCCCAUUCUCCCUUCUCUACAGGUGGUCCCACCUCAAGGCACAACAGUGGGGCCGGGGGUAAGGGAUGCUUCCAAGGGAACUACAAACCCCUCCUCUGGCCCCGCUGAAAGUCUCUGCCCAAGAGCCCUGCCAAGAAAGUCCCGGAAGCUUCCACUGUCUGACAAACCCACCCUCACUGCACACCUCGCCUGCAGCACAGGGCUUCUGUGAGGACCACAAAAUCUCCAGCUGACUUCAAUGAAGUACUCCCUAAAGCACAGAAAACACAGACGGUGAGAGCCAGCCCAGAGAGAUGCAGUUCUUGACCUUGGCCAGUGGACAGCGUGGGUAAUGAGAGGUCAUUCCCCAAACGCUUGCAGGUAAACUCAGCAAUGAUGACCAAAGGAGUCUGUUGGCUUAACUCUGAGAAGCAACCUGGAGCAAAGGUACCAUUCCUCAGGCAAUCAUCUCCUGCAUCCUGUCCUCCUCACAGACCCUAGGAUGCUGCAGAUCCCUGAAUACCUUGGGGGCGGCCACCAACAAUAGAAGGUGGAGAGGGUGCCCUUAACCCAGUGGCAGACACGUGCCGCCCCAGCAGUGGGGGUGGCAUCCACAUUCUGUACAGCUCACAGUGCCCAACCCUGACCCCCUGGCCUCCUAACCUAUAGGGCCUCCUGCCAGGUUUUUCUAUCUUUGGUCCAGGGCAAGUUUUGGAAGUCUUGUCCAUACUGAUUGGAUGUUCAUCUAAAAGGAAAUGACAUGGGAAGAAUGUCGAUGCACUUGUCUGACCAGUGUCUCUCCCCAUGUCUGUCCUCAGCAUGCAGAGCUGACCCUGAGGCCCAGGACCAGCAUCUGGGCUCUGCCUUCCUCUUACAGAGACCCCUGUGAGCACCCACCAUACCCAGGCCCUGUGCAAUGCUCUGCUGUGUAACAGGAACAGGCAGGCAGAGUCCCUGCUCUCAAGGGACUCACAUUUAGAGAUUGCAUGGGACACAGAAAACAAAAUUAAAAAACAAACAAAAAAAAAACCAGGACAGAACAGAUGACAGAGAGUGCAACGUGCUGUGAUGUCCAUGACCAGAGGAGGUGAGGGGACCAGAGGGGCAGGGACAGCCACUUCAUUAUGUGUGACUUCUCCUAUCUUGUAGAGCCACAAUUUCUGGUCUAGAGGAACAUGAAAUAAUGCAAGGCCAGGGAUUUGCUUCAAAAUACUCUGUGGUAAGGGUUCCAAGGAAAGCAGAUGGGGGCAGGUUGAGAAUUAUUGAAAGUAGGUUUAUGGCACAAUUCUUGUUAUUUUGUAUACUGUUGAAAACUUCCAUGAAUAAUAAAUUCUCUCUGAAAAGGUGACAUUUCAGCUGAAAUUAAAAAGAUGAGGAGCCAGCCAGGCAAAGAUCAUGUGCCAAUGCCCUGGGCAGUGACUCGCUGACCUUGUCAAGGAGGGAAAGAGGUGAUCCAGAACAGGGGGCAGGGCCUCGUGGGCCCUGGAAAGGGGUUGGGGUUUUAUUUCUUGUGCAGUGAAUCUGUCCAGGUUGGGCAGAUCCAGGAUGUAUUUUGCACAUGGAGGCAACAGGACUUGCUGGUGGGAUGGAUGUGAGGAAGAAGCUCAGAGGAGUCAAAGAUGACAUUUGAGUGUUUGACCAGAAUAACCGGGUGGACAGUGACACCAUUUACCAAAAGGGGGAAGCCUGAGGAGUGUUGGGGAGGGCACGGGCCCUGCUGCAUCUGCCUGCUGGCCUGGCUCCAGCUCUCUACCCACUGGGCUUGGCUGCCAGGACCCCGGCUUCCCAGGGCCAGCAACUGCCUGGCCAACCUAGGACUGCCAGAACCCGUGGUAUCGACGUUUUCGCCAAGGAUGAUUUCAAAACAAUUAUGGCAUCUUCCUCAUUUUCCUUUGAAAACCUUUCUCUGCUUUUUUUUCACCUCCCUAAAUAUGCACAUAGUUUACUCUGGCAUGUGUUUUCCAUGCCUUAUUCCUGAAUAAAUAGCACUUCAGUCUCUGUUUGUUAUUUUGGUUGAUAAAAAUCGUAUCCAGGCACUUCCCAGAAGCCAGAACUAGGCUCUGCCCCUGCUUCCCCAUAGGGACAUAUGCAGGACAGAGGGAAGUCUCUCCCUGACCUGCACCUCCGGUCUGGCAUCAGCCACCAGGGAAGGCACGCUGCCAUCUAGUGGGGGGUGCAGGGGAGACGUGUUCAGUGGUGGCCAACACUCCAGGGACAUGUUCCGGGGAUAUCUUCCUAAUAGUGAAAAUAGGUUUAAAGGUUGUUCUCAAUUAUUUUAAAAAAUAAGCUUCCUUUUACUCCUGGAUAAGCCAUCAACCAGGAGCAGAAUGGCCAUCUACGCAGGUGCUCACAGCUGUGGCAUGGGCUCCCCACUGUGAGACGUCGGUGCUGGCCUGUGUAUGGAGAGGUAGAUGGUAACCUCCAGGGUGGGAAGCCAGUACACCCACAGGCCCACAGAGGAAGCAGCUGAAUGCCCUUCACGGAGGUAGGCUGGGUACCCCCUUUCCCAGGAGCUGCCACCACAGGGAGGCAGAAGGCCCUGGUAGGGCAGGAAGAUUGCCUGGGUCUGCUUUCCUGCCCUGCAACAUGAACUGUAUGGCCCUGGGCAGGCUCUUCCAUCAUGCUUCUCUCUAGUUCUCCAUCCAUACGGGAAAGUUGUCAGAACUAAAAUGGAGUCAUUUGUGUUAAAAAAAUAAAAUAAAGUCCAUGACAGUUAGGGCUAAGAAAGGCUACAAAGAGAGGGUUUUAUGCCUAUAUGCCUGAUAACAAAAAUAUCACAAAAGACUUUGCAAAAACCACAACCUUGCACAAAAGCCAUUGCAGACUUAACACAAAAAAAUACUUCUACAGGAACAUGUGCCCAAGAACUGCCUGUCCAGCCUUGGACUAGUGUCACCCUUGUAACUGAUCUUUUUAGGCAAGAGUAAUGGUCUCAAAACAAUUCCCUAAUCUUCAUUUCUCCUUUAAAAGCCUUUGUCUUCUUUACCUCCCUGAUUAUGCACAUUACUAUGGCACACAUAUUCCCAGUGCCGGGCACCGUUCCUGAAUAAAUACUGUUUUCUUUUAGAGAGAAACUCUCUGUCGUUCAGGUUGACAUAAAUGGUGUCCAGAAGUAGGACCUGGAGUAGGACCACUACUUGAAGAAAUCAGCCACUCUUGGAAUUGGUGUGCAGUCCUCACUUGAGCCCUUGGAGCUCCCUGUUUCUGUGACUUGCUUUCUCUGCCCUGGAGAGUCUUCUCUCAGGCUGAGCCUCCUACUUUUGGGUGGAAGCUCUUGACUUCAUUCAGCAUCUGAUUUGGAUAAGGCCACCGUAAGCCAAAGAGCUUACAUCCCUCCUGAAAUGAUAACAAUUUUUUGUCUUUUCCAGUAAUUCUUUCUGGUAUAAUGACAAAUGUUUUUCUGAUUUGAGCACCCUAGUUUCUACAUAAUUUACAUUUGUUUGUGAGGCAUGUCUUUUCUGGCAAAUUCACUUUUAGUUCUGCAUGCCUAAUUAAAUAUUUGUUUGAUCUGUAUACCCGGGUUAAAAUAUCUGUGAACAAUGACAUUGGUUUGGUUCCAUGUGUCUGUAAGUCAUAUGGAACCAAAAAAGCCCACACAGCCAAAGCAAGACUAAGCAAAAAGAACAAAUCUGGAGGCAUCACAUUACCCAACUUCAAACUAUUCACAUGGCUAUAGUCACCAAAAUAGCAUGGUACUGUUAUAAAAACAGGCACAUAGACCAAUGGAACAGAAUAGAGAAUCCAGAAAUAAACACAAAUACUUACAGCCAACUGAUCUUUGACAAAGCAAACGAAAGCAUAAAGUGGAGAAAGGACACCCUAUUCAACAAAUGGUGCUGGGAUAAUUGGCAAGCCACCAUGUAGAAGAAUAAAACUGGUUCCUCAUCUCUCAACUUAUACAAAAAUCAAUUCAAGAUGAAUCAAAGACUUAAAUCUAAGACCUGAGACUAUAAAAAUUCUAGAAGAUAACAUCAGAAAAACUCUUCUAGACACUGGCUUAGGCAGACACUUCAUGACCAAGAACCCAAAAGCAAAUGCAACAAAAACAAAAAUAUUUGUGGGGGGGUAAAUUGAUGAAAAAAAUUUUGCAUGUAAUUGACUUGGUAAUAAUCAGAAUAAAAUUAUUUAUAAGUCUUCAUAAAGAUUGAGCUCUGAUAUUAAAAAUACAGUAAUACUAAACUAAAAAAUUGGUCUCCUAUAUUAGAACACCAAAGUUUUCUUGAAAUAUUGAUUUGCUAUUAGUAAAAUUGCAAGAGGUUUUGAUUUUUAAUUCUGACUGCUGUUUUCUUUAACAGCCAUCUUCUAAACUGCAGGCAGUUUCUAUUCCUGGCACAUUUUUUCCUGAGAUCCAUUUAAUUUCCCCAGUUUCAGAUAAGGAAUGCAAUCUUUUUCAUGAAGAAUGGUAAUUUUAUUCAUUAAGGUUCUUAUUUCAGAAGUUCAAUUUCUGCUGCAUCCCACUGCACAUGGUCUGCAGGCCAUACACCAUAGCCUGUAGCGCUCCUACUCCCUUCCUCCGAAAAGUUACAGCUUUUUGGUUGGCUGAGGUGAUAACUCUCUUCUCCAACUUUUUCAUCAGCUGCUCCAACUUUUUUCCUCCAGUUCUAACUUGGCUUUUAUGGCCUGGCACUAUAAUGUUUAUCUUGAAGGCCAAGAAAAGCAAUGUUUUCCGCCAAUAUAACUAGAUUAUGUACUCUUGGCUUUUCUUGAUAUGUCUGAAUUGUUCCAUGUUACCAAGAAACUUCACGUGGUUUUACUUUAUCUAAGAGCUCUACAUUCCUCUGCUCAAGGUACUAGUCUUCUUGUUUAUACUCUCCUAUAAUAUGAGUGUACAUUCAUAACACUUGGAUAUGUUCUUUUAUCUCUAAUUGAAUUUAAGGACCCUUUCAUCAGGUUCAAUUCCAAGACUGAACAGGCUUCCCAUGAGAAGAAGCAAUUACAUUGCAGGAGAUUUUUUUUACCUUUUGGUAACUGACCUAAAAGACAAACAAUUUAUAUAUUUAUAUUUUACCAAGAUAAUUUUCUGUGUUGUCUUUAUCAAAUUUUUGAUUACUUAAGAAAACUGAGCUUUGAACAGGUUAAGGUUUUAAAAUAUUUGUAACUUUCUGUAUUGCUUUUGAAGUUUCCUGAUAAUCACUCGAGUUAAAUGAAUGGCUAUUAUUUAACAGUGACCUGUGAUUCUAUUUUGAUCUAUGGCUUUGAAUCUCUUGAUAUUUUUGGUGGGCUUCUCCUGGAUCAAAAUUCUAAAUUAAGUCCUUUUGAACUACAAUUAAUUUUGAGAUUUUCCAGUUGGGCCCUUGGAGAAUAUGCAAGAAGAUAUAUUUUAAUUUAUAGAGGUAUUAAAUGAUUAGGCUUAUUUGGUAAAUUAUAUGACAAGCAUUGUCAAAUGAGAAGUGAGGCUACAUCUUCUUUUAGUCACAUUUAUGGGUAGGUUAUUGAUAGGAAUGUUCUAAAAAUUAUAUGACAAAAUCUAAUAUAUUAUAAGUCAUAAUUUUGGUUGUUAUGUUAAAACUUCUUUAAAGUUGUAUUUAUUUGGCUGUGUUAUUGAUGUGAGUAUUCUAAAGAUUAUAGGAAAUUUAUAAGUCUGAUACUUGUGAUAUGAUGCUGUCAGUCAUGAUUAUGGUUAAUAUCUUAAAUUCCUGCAGGUAAUGGAAACAACUAAAUUUUCUUGUCGAUUGUGAACUUUUAUCAGAUUUUUAACCAUGGCUAUUCUAAGUUUUUUGGAUUCUACUCAAAAAGCAUUUGUAGUCAGUUGUUGUCCAAGUUCUUGUUAUCUGUCUAUAGAGUAGACCACAUCCCGAAUUCUUCUAUGUUCCACCAAUCCAGCCUUCUUCCAUGGAAUUACUAUAAAUGGAAAACUGUUCUGUUCCAAAAGCCCUAUAAGCUGAAACUAGAUGAAUUUUAAGAAAGCAGCCUUGUGCCUGAUGUAUGGGCCACAUAAAAAGUUUACAGUGGCUCACGCCUGUAAUCCCAGCACUUUGGGAGGCCAAGGCGGGUGAAUCACGAGGUCAGGAGAUCGAAACCAUCCUGGCUAACAUGGUGAAACCCUGUCUCUACUAAAAAAUACAAAAAAAAUUAGCCAGGUGUGGUGGCACGCACCUGUAGUCCCAGCUACUCAGGAGGCUGAGGCAGGAGAAUGGCGUGAACCUGGUCGUGCCACUGCACUCCAGCCUGGGCGACAGAGCUAGACUCUGUCUCAAAAAAAUAAAAUAAAAUAAAAUAAAAAAUAAAGUUUACCAAACCAUUUGAUGCCAUGACCAGAGACAAACUGCAAAUCAGGAUGAGAAGUUGACCUUUGCACACUAUAGACAGCUUUUUUCAAGACAUUGGAAAAGACUCCAUAGUAUAAUGAGACUCCUACACUCCUUAAGGUUACCUUUCUAACUUGGCAAGAUAAUGGAGUAAUUGAAAUUUCACAAUUACUACCUUCUGCUUGUAAGUUGACAGAAUCUGACCUAAGAGAUCCUUUGGUAUACAUUGACUAAAUAAGAAAAUGUCUGUACUAUUGCUAAUACUGCAUGCCAUCCCUGGAUAAAUUCCUCUUGGAAAGUCAAUACCAAUAUACACAAAGUAAGAAAACAGGCCACAUGGUUAAAACAGAUCUCACCUAAUUCCUUAUGAUCAUUUGAUUUAUUCAGUGGGUUACUGAUGUGGUUUGGCUGUGUCCCUACCCAAAUCUCAUCUUGAAUUGUAGCUCCCAUAAUUCCCACUUGUUAUAGGAGAGAUCCGGUGGGGGAUAAUUGAAUCAUGGGGGCGGAUUCCUCCAUGCUGCUCUGGUGGUAGUGAAUAAGUCUUAGGAGAUCUGAUGGUUUUAUAUGGGGUUUCUCCUUUGGCUUGGCUCUCAUUCUCUCUUGCCUACCACCAUGUAAGAUGUCUCUUGCUCUUCCAGCAUGAUUGUGAGUCCUCCCCGGCCAAGCGGAACUAUGAGUCAAUUAAACCUCCUUCCUUUGUAACUUACCCAGUCUCAAGUACGUCUUUAUUAGCAGCAUGAGAACAAACUAAUACAGUUGCCUUUAAGCCUAGGUUCAUGGAUAAAAACUAUUAUGCAAAUUGUAUUUUCCAUUUUUAAACUUUUUAUAUGUUACUUGUUAAAUUUUUGCAGAAGUACAACUUGUAACCAUAAUGCUAGCCCAUCACUUUGAGAUAACAGCAAGACUAUGGAACUCACAAAAUUGAACUUAAUAAUGGACUCAAGAUAGACUUAGCCCGAGAGUCACUCCUUUCAAACAUCCUUUAAAGGUCAACUGUGACUAAAAGGGAUUGACACUUACUCCAAGUUGCCAAUUGCUCCCUCCAAAAUGGACCAAGACCUGCAACCAGGACAGGCCCAUCCCAUUAUCCAGGGACAGUCAAAACCUAAUUACAGAAUGAUUGAUUAGUGAGGUGUUUGCAGAAAGAUCUUGAUCAAAAGGGAGAAAUUGUGAAAGUUCUCAGAAUCAAAAUGGAGUUAACAUGUUAAAAAAACAACAAAAAAAUCCUGGCAAGCUGAAUUGGGGAAGUUUAUGAAGAGAAGAUUCACAUGCUUGUAUACCUGAUAACAAAAACUAUCACAAAUCUCUACCAAACUACAACCUUUGCAAAGACCAUUGCAACCUUACUCAAAAAUACUUCUGCAAGGACAUCUGACCCGCAAUUGCCCAUGCAACCUCACAUUGGGGUCACCUCUAUUAUUAUUGAUCUUAGUAGCCAAGAAGAACUAACUCAAACAAUUAUGUAAUCCUUCUCACAUCUCCUGUAAAAUCUAACCUUCCUGAAUAUGCAUGUAGUUUACUAUGGCAUGCGUAUUCC
rnacentral:lncRNA from 1 species